UAAUGUCUGGGAAACUGCCUGAUGGAGGGGGAUAACUACUGGAAACGGUGGCUAAUACCGCAUAAUGUCGCAAGACCAAAGUGGGGGACCUUCGGGCCUCAUGCCAUCAGAUGUGCCCAGAUGGGAUUAGCUAGUAGGUGGGGUAACGGCUCACCUAGGCGACGAUCCCUAGCUGGUCUGAGAGGAUGACCAGCCACACUGGAACUGAGACACGGUCCAG
rnacentral:rRNA from 1 species